rnacentral:rRNA from 1 species
AUUGAACGCUGGCGGAAUGCUUUACACAUGCAAGUCGAGCGGCAGCGCGGGGGCAACCUUGGCGGCGAGCGGCGAACGGGUGAGUAACAUAUCGGAACGUACCCCGUCGUGGGGGAUAACACAGCGAAAGCUGUGCUAAUACCGCAUACGACCUGAGGGUGAAAGCGGGGGACCGUAAGGCCUCGCGCGAUGGGAGCGGCCGAUAUCGGAUUAGCUUGUUGGUGAGGUAAAGGCUCACCAAGGCGACGAUCCGUAGCUGGUCUGAGAGGACGACCAGCCACACUGGAACUGAGACACGGUCCAGACUCCUACGGGAGGCAGCAGUGGGGAAUUUUGGACAAUGGGGGCAACCCUGAUCCAGCCAUUCCGCGUGAGUGAAGAAGGCCUUCGGGUUGUAAAGCUCUUUCGGCAGGAGCGAAACGGUGGCCACUAAUACUGGCUACUAAUGACGGUACCUGAAGAAGAAGCACCGGCUAACUACGUGCCAGCCGCCGCCGUAAAAC